ensembl:lncRNA
AGGUCUGAGGAUGCCUGCCAUAAAGUAAAGGUAAAGGUUUCCCCUGACAUUAAGUCCAGUCAUGUCUGACUCUGGGGGUUGGUGCUCAUCUCUAUUUCUAAGCUGAAGAGCCGGCAUUGUCCAUAGACACCUCCAAGAUCAUGUGGCCGGCAUGACUGCAUGGAGCGCCAUUACCUUCCUGCCGGAGUGGUACCUAUUGAUCUACUCACAUUGGCAUGUUUUCAAACUGCUAGGUUGGCAGAAGCUGUAGCUAUCAGUGGGCACUCUCUCCACUCCCGGGAUUUGAACCUGGGACCUUUCGGUCUGCAAGUUCAGCAGCUCAGUGCUUUAACACACUUCACCACCGGGGCUCCAUGCCUGCCACAGAUGUAGGCAAAACGCCAGGAAACAAUUCUUUUGGAACAUGGCCAUAUAGCCUGGAAAACCCAGAUCAACUCAGUGAUUGCAGCCAUGAAAGCCUUCCACAACAGGAUGAUGGGGCCAGAUGAGGAUGAUGAAGAGGAGGAUUUCCUCCCAGCAGCAGAAUUUGAGCCUCAGGAAGAGGAACAGCCUGAUGCUACUAAGGCUGAGCAGGAACAAGCCCGUCCAGAAAUGGAAGCACCUGAGCCAGAGCAGGAGGGGGAGAAAGAACGGGCAUUAGCUCGCCCAGCCUGGAUCCAGCUCAGGGUUUAUGCCAUUCAGUUGCAACGGUCUAAUCAAUUGGCUUAAAGAAAAAAAUAUCAGCUGCAAAAGUUUAUCAGGAGCUGGAUAAAAGACUGGUAUUUGGAACAGUUGAUUGCUCAAGGCAAUUGUUGUUUGGUGCUACAGCUGUGAAUCCUUGAUGCCCUUACACCAUACUUGUGGAUAUUGGAUUUGUUCUUUGAACCUUGGACUAUGUUUGGACAUUAGAUCUGUGCUUUGAACCCAGGACUAUGCCUUGGAUAUCAGACCUGGACUUGUGGUAAACUUCUGUGUAUUUAGACCCCUUGGAAUGGACAUUGGAAUUGGCUUGUGUGCUCUUGUGUUAAAUCCUGGACUGCCUCUGACUUCUCUUAGGAGGAAGGCUGCAGACUGUUGACACUAUGUAAGCUACCUUAGGUCCCGGGCUGGGAAAAAUGCUGCACACAAAUUAAUUAAAUAAACAUAAAUAAUUUUUAAAUAUAUCUUUAAGAACUCACUGGCAGGAGAAAGCAAAGCUGGCAGAUUCCCCCAAAUUCUGUCAACUGAACUCUAUAUCCUCUACACAGUGGAUUUUAUUUUAUUUUUUAAAUGAUUGCAUUUAAUGUUCUCUUUCUUUGGAGGUAUUAGUAGCAUUUACUUUAGUAGCAUUUAUUUCAGUAAAACUUUGGUUUAUGAAAGAUUUCGAAUUAAAAUCAUGUCCCUAACCAGUGUAUACAAAUUCAUUUAAUUUUCUUGGCUUCUUGUGGUCUUCCAUUUGUAUUUCUAUUGAUUUUUUGAAAUAAUCAAAUGCAUUAUUUUACAAAAUCCAAAAGCCCGCAAGACACAAUAAUGAAUGGAUCAUUGACUACAUCAUAGUCAAUAGCCUAUUACUGUUUCCCUUAAUACAGCACUUUUAAGAAAUUUUAGUUUGUUUGAAAGCACGGUCGUAGCAUAAUCCACAAUGUUUGUUUUCUUCCAUUAAAUAUCUGCUUUCUCAUGAUGGCUCCCGAUCAUUGUUUUUGAAGUGUUUUAGACUUCAGCUCCCUAAAUCCCUGACCAUUAGUCAAAGUAGCUGAAGUUUCUGGGAACUGAAAUCCAAAAUGCCUGGAGAACUAGAGUGCCCUGAACUGAUGCAGGAUUCUGAUGCUAUCAUGUACCUGAUAUAGGCUGGGGGUUUUCACAGGCAAUGACGUUCUCAUAGGCUUCGCACAUGAAUGAGAAAGAUGGGAAUGAAAGCUUGAGAAAUAUAAAUGGAGGUAUCCUAUAUUCUCAUGUAUAAGUCUAGAAAUGUUAGUCAAAAAAUCAACCCAAAGAACUUGGGUUGACUUAUCCAUGAGUCAGUGUGGAUACUGUACCUUAACUCUCAUGUAAAAAAGGAACCAACCCUUUCUCUGAGUAGAGUGAAAAAAGGCAAGAGCUUGAUUUGUUCUGGGAAUACCUAAAAGUACAAUAGAGUCUCACUUAUCCAACGUUCUGGAUAAUCCAACCAUUUUUGUAGUCAAUGUUUUCAAUACAUUGUGAUAUUUUGGUGCUAAAUUCGUAAAUACAGUAAUUACUACAUAGCAUUACUGUGUAUUGAACUACUUUUUUUGUCAAAUUUGAUGUAUAACAUGUUUUGGUGUUUAAUUUGUAAAAUCAUAACCUGAUUUGAUGUUUAAUAGGCUUUUCCUUAAUCCUUCCUUAUUAUCCAACAUAUUCGCUUAUCCAACGUUCUGCCCACCCGUUUAUGUUGGAUAAGUGAGACUCUACUGUAGCACAGAGCUCUACCUGCAGUGGCUAUUUUUGAAUGUCUGUUAGGCACUUUCAGACAGUGCCAACAUGCAUGUUUUAAAAGUGGGUUUAAAAAUCUCAGGACCUGAAAGCAGAUCCACACACAGACCUAUUAGUCCUGGGAAAGCCCCCUCCCCCUGCC